rnacentral:tRNA from 1 species
UCUAUUAUGACAGAUUAGUGUAUUGAACUUAAACCUCAAAAAUAAAGAUUUAUCUUUUUUUAGAA